rnacentral:rRNA from 1 species
CCUGUUUAACAAAAACAUGUCUUUUUGAGUUAUUUUUAAAGUCUGACCUGCCCACUGAAUUUUUUUAAAUGGCCGCAGUAUUCUAACUGUGCAAAGGUAGCAUAAUCAUUAGUCUUUUAAUUGAAGGCUGGAAUGAACGGUUGGACGAGGUAUAAGCUGUUUCAUAUAAAUUUAUAGUAGAAUUUUAUUUUUUAGUUAAAAAGCUAAAAUUUAAUUAAAAGACGAGAAGACCCUAUAAAUCUUUAUAUUUUAUUUUAUUUAAAUUUUUUGGAUUAAUUUUAUUUUUAUAAUUUAAAAUAUUUUGUUGGGGUGAUAUUAAAAUUUAAUGAACUUUUAAUUUUUUAAAAUCAUUAAUUUAUGAGUUAUUGAUCCAUUAAUAGUGAUUAUAAGAUUAAGUUACUUUAGGGAUAACAGCGUAAUUUUUUUGGAGAGUUCAUAUCGAUAAAAAAGUUUGCGACCUCGAUGUUGGAUUAAGAUAUAAUUUUAGGUGUAGCCGCUUAAAU